rnacentral:rRNA from 1 species
CGGUGUUCAACUGGCGUGUCCGCGGGACGUCCUGCCGGUGGGCUUAGCCCGCAAGGGCGACCCAACUUCAAAUCCCAUCGCGGUGCUCUUCACUGAGUGUCGAGGUGGGCCGGCACGUUUACUUUGAACAAAUUAGAGUGCUUAAAGCAGGCUAAAACUUCGCCUGAAUACUGUGUGCAUGGAAUAAUGGAAUAGGACCUCGGUUCUAUUUUGUUGGUUUUCGGAACCCCGAGGUAAUGAUUAAUAGGAACGGAUGGGGGCAUUCGUAUUGCGACGUUAGAGGUGAAAUUCUUGGAUCGUCGCAAGACGGACAGAAGCGAAAGCAUUUGCCAAAAACGCUUUCAUUGAUCAAGAACGAAAGUUAGAGGUUCGAAGGCGAUCAGAUACCGCCCUAGUUCCAACCAUAAACGAUGCCAGCUAGCGAUCCGUCGACGUUCCUCCGAUGACUCGACGGGCAGCUUCCGGGAAACCAAAGCUUUUGGGUUCCGGGGGAAGUAUGGUUGCAAAGCUGAAACUUAAAGGAAUUGACGGAAGGGCACCACCAGGAGUGAAGCCUGCGGCUUAAUUUGACUCAACACGGGAAACCUCACCAGGCCCGGACACCGGAAGGAUUGACAGAUUGAGAGCUCUUUCUUGAUUCGGUGGGUGGUGGUGCAUGGCCGUUCUUAGUUGGUGGAGCGAUUUGUCUGGUUAAUUCCGAUAACGAACGAGACUCUAGCCUGCUAACUAGGCGUAUUUUCGACAUCUCAAAGGUCCGUCGUCCCGGCCCUCGGGUCGUGGGCGUGCGCGAUUUUUACUGUCGGCGUACUAUCAAUUCUUCUUAGAGGGACAGGUGGCUUCUAGCCGCACGAGAUUGAGCAAUAACAGGUCUGUGAUG